AUAUACGAUGUUAGAGGUAGUGGCCAGGCUUCUUCGGGGAAUGUUGUUUAGGAUUCUUGUUUCUGGAGGCAUACUGAACUUUGUGACGCAAAAUUUUACCUGAUGCUGGGAUGUGCAAGCAGGAAUUUAUUUCACCAGUAUGCAACAGAUGGCCAUGCCAUCGUUCGCCAUAACCUCACCUCCGUCGCAUGGCACUACCUUAUGGGCGCCUCAUGCUUGUCGUCCUCAAAGGCUGCACAAGAGACACGUGCGCAGCCAAGUCCGGGCAGUGGCACAAGCACAGCUGCAGUACCAGAAGCUAGGGGACUCAGACCUCCUCAUCAGUGAGGUCACUCUUGGAACGAUGACUUUUGGCGAGCAAAACACGGAGAAGGAAGCACAUGACAUUAUCGCUUAUUCUUUCGAUCAAGGUGUCAAUAUCCUAGACACACCAUAAAUUGUCAAUACAAGAUUCCUUCCUUACUUUUAUUAACUAUCCCUCUCUCUGUAUUUUCAAGUGAUCGGAUAUACUUCUCCAUUUUCCCUUUUGGCCUUUAGUACCCAGUUCCAAUGAACAAGGAAACUCAAGGGAGAACUGAUCUUUAUAUUGGCAGGUGGAUGCAAUCAAAACCACGAGACAAGAUAAUUUUGGCCACCAAAGUUGCCGGUUAUUCAGAGUGGUCUACAUUUCUUUGAGACAAUGCAAAAGUGGUUCGUGUUGGUGCUGCCAAUAUCAAAGAAAGUAUUGAAAUGAGUCUUAAACGCUUGUCUACAGAUUACAUUGAUUUGCUUCAGAUACACUGGGUUAUGUUGUGUACCUUGUCCGUGUGAGGCGUGGUGGUAGGAAGAGGCCUUUGCCCAAGUGUAUUAUCUAUGGCUAGCCCAAGCACCAGGGUAUCACCCAACUCAAGUUCUAGAGGUACAAGAGGUCUCUCGCUGAGGAGAGAGCUAGACGCAAGCUUGGUGGACUGAGGGUUCUUAACUCCUACUGGGUGAACGAGGUGGAGCUGCUAUUUAUGGAGAGGAGCGUUGAUAGCCAUUGUCCUGGGAUGGUAGUCUGCAUGGCUGAACG